AGAACCUGCCUUUCAGGCAUCCUCUCCUAAAACUUUCAGCCGCCCUCCGGGGCGGCUUUUUUUUGGCUGGC
rnacentral:sRNA from 1 species